rnacentral:lncRNA from 1 species
UGAGGCUUACUGUAUAUGACCCAUAUGAAUUUGAAAUGUGCAAAUGUGUCUGCGUACAGGAGGAGCCAGAGGACCUGAGUGACAGCUCCCAUCCCUCCAUUGUCCCUCUGAAGGAUGCUCCACUGAUCACAGAGAUUGAAAGUCACAGCCCCGUCUCCAAAUAUAUCACUGUCCAUUACUCCAGGUUGUCCAGUACGGAUCAGGUGCAGAUACACAACCUGCCACUAAGUGGUGAUAAAAAACCAAAAGACUCCUCCAAAGUUGUUUACACUUUACUGCCCCAGCCUCGACACUGACCUGGAGGAAACAGCACAUCACUCAGAGAUUUAUCAAGCUGAACUGUCCCUGUGUGAGCCAUUCAAUUUGCCUUGUCCCUGUGCACGCCACCAAUGGACAGUCCUGUCCAAUGGUACUCCAGCUCAUGAACCAUGUUGCAUGUCUCUAAAUCAUCAUCUGAAAGCUACUUUGCUUGGUGACAGUCCAGUAUUUAUACAGUGGUGCUGCUUUUUUUUUGCUGACACAAAACUUUUCAACUCAAAUGUUUGCAGAUGACUCGGCAGCACUUUAUCCUUUGCAUCCUAACUGAAGUAAUCAUUUAUAUGAAAUGUAACCAAUACAAAUGACUAGAUGUAUAAGUGGAAAAUGUCCACACUGUAACAGGCGUGUUCUGAGUGCUGAUGCUUUUGUCAGUGGCCUUUAUUAAAUCCUUUCCCCC